GUGUGAAGUUCACCCAGUGUGACUUUUCUGAUUGUCGUAGGUUUAAAUCACGUGCAGGCGGUAGAUAUGCAUCAAAGCUGAGAAUAAAAAGGGGUACAUGUGACCAACAAAGUUUCCGGAGGGAAGAUCAGAUGCCUACACCGAUGGAUUAUACGAAAAUGUAGGACUUAUAGGCAGCGCACCGAGGAAAAAGGGCUGCUUUUGUUGGCUCUCCGAAUUAAUUGUCGCGGAUUCCCAGGAUUUCCGUACGAGUGGAAGUAGCAUAUGUAUAGAGACAGCAGGGCACAGUACGUUGAAGUUAUUGGCAUUUCGCACGAUACCAGAGCUCCAGAGCUCGCUAUCACCCCCGACGAUCAAUAGAGCCUUUAACCCCUUACGUUCAACGAUCCGUUCUAACGACUUCGUUGUUAGCAAGAUCUUAUGGCGACAACCUGCUUAGCACCCAAG